rnacentral:rRNA from 1 species
UACGUAGGGGGCAAGCGUUAUCCGGAUUUACUGGGUGUAAAGGGAGCGUAGACGGCAGGGCAAGUCUGGAGUGAAAGCCCGGGGCCCAACCUCGGGACUGCUUUGGAAACUGCCAUGCUAGAGUGCUGGAGAGGUAAGCGGAAUUCCUAGUGUAGCGGUGAAAUGCGUAGAUAUUAGGAGGAACACCAGUGGCGAAGGCGGCCUACUGGGCUCUAACUGACGCUGAGGCACGAAAGCGUGGGUAGCAAACAGG